rnacentral:rRNA from 1 species
GUAGUCAUAUGCUUGUCUCAAAGAUUAAGCCAUGCAUGUCUAAGUAUAAGCAAUUAUACCGCGAAACUGCGAAUGGCUCAUUAAAUCAGUUAUCGUUUAUUUGAUAGUACCUUACUACUUGGAUAACCGUGGUAAUUCUAGAGCUAAUACAUGCUAAAAAUCCCGACUUCGGAAGGGAUGUAUUUAUUAGAUUAAAAACCAAUGCCCUUCGGGGCUCACUGGUGAUUCAUGAUAACUCCUCGAAUCGCAUGGCCUUGUGCCGGCGAUGGUUCAUUCAAAUUUCUUCCCUAUCAACUUUCGAUGUUUGGGUAUUGGCCAAACAUGGUUGCAACGGGUAACGGGGAAU